rnacentral:rRNA from 1 species
UACGUAGGUGGCAAGCGUUGUCCGGAUUUACUGGGCGUAAAGGAUGCGUAGGCGGACAUUUAAGUCAGAUGUGAAAUACCCGAGCUUAACUUGGGUGCUGCAUUUGAAACUGGGUGUCUAGAGUGCAGGAGAGGUAAGUGGAAUUCCUAGUGUAGCGGUGAGAUGCGUAGAGAUUAGGAAGAACACCAGUGGCGAAGGCGACUUACUGGACUGUAACUGACGCUGAGGCAUGAAAGCGUGGGGAGCAAACAGG